rnacentral:rRNA from 1 species
ACUUCGGGAAACCGGAAGCUAAUACCGGAUAACAUGUUGAACAGCAUGGUUCAACAGUGAAAGACGGUCUUGCUGUCACUUAUAGAUGGAUCCGCGCCGCACUAGCUAGUUGGUAAGGUAACGGCUUACCAAGGCAACGAUGCGUAGCCGACCUGAGAGGGUGAUCGGCCACACUGGAACUGAGACACGGUCCAG